rnacentral:lncRNA from 1 species
CACAAGAUGAAAAUGUCAACUUACAGGAAUACAAAAGGCAACAUAAGGUACUUCUUGAAUCCGUGUGUGUUCCAGACAGACGGACGUGUCCAUUUCGACCACCGGAGGAAGUGGUGAGAGACUGGCAAUGAUGUACUGAACGAGCAUGGUGGAAAGACAACAUAGUCAAAUGGGGGUUUGUCAUAAGCCUAACUUGUGCAUAGUCUGCUUUGAUAGAGAGCCUUCAGGAUAUUUUUAUCUAUGUGACCUUACCGCCUGUAUGUUUUGUACACUAUACAUUUUUAAAAACAAUAUAGGAAGAAAUACCCUAAAUGUGGGAAUAAAAUUGAAGCUGUCAGACACAUUUAUAACUAGAAAGUAUUUGGUAAUAUAAUAGCAAUUCUGGACAUGAUUACAGUCAAGGCAGAUACUUAAGAGCGGAAAGCAUUUUAAGUUGAACUGUUUACUUCUUAUGAUGUAGGACACAAUGGAGAAUUGUUAACAUGCUUCUUGAAUUUGGAAUAUUAGAAACCGAUGCGUCUUUGAAAUUUAUUUAUUCUGUGAACAGUAUUGGAUAUAAAGGCAACAUCAAUGUUAAGUUAUUGACAUCUUAUUGUUCCUUCUCAAGGGAAGGAACACUUAUGGUGAAUAUGUUUCACUUGACUGAGAAGGUAAUGGAUACAAGGGUAUCAUCAAAGGCAUCCGAUUUCCAGUAGGGCGCUGCCAUCUUGGACUUAUGCAUAUUCAUUACAAAUAGCCUCUUUGCCAAUGUGUGUUUACGCAUCUUUAAGUUAAUCUUGAGUGAAAUUCAACUACAUAAUAUUAGACCUACAAGAAACAAUAAUAUAGUUUAAAUAAUAUAACUCCUAAAUCUAACAUGUCAUAAUGUAGAAUCGAGAUUAAUUAAAUAAAUAUGCAUCAUCUAAAAAUAGACUUCCGCCCAAAAAUAUCGUCUGCAAUUAUUUUUCUUGGUUGCAUUCUUUGCUUUUAAAGGAUCUUUUUUUCAUAUUAACUAUAUUAUUUUGACGCUAAGUAUUACCAUCAAAACAUACUGUACAUAUUAAGUAAUUCGAGAUUUUUUCGCUCGUCUGUUAAUGCUACGUCACCGUAUAUUACAGCAUUUCAAUUACUUCCCUUGUUCUAUCCAGAACUGUAUAAUGCAUUUUUUUCACUUUAUUGAGCUAUAAAAUGUUUCGAACUUUUUAAUUUUAUGCCUUUUGAUAAGUUGUUUUGUAAGAUUCAAGCUGUGGACUUUUUGUACGCAUUUUUUUCAAACCCAUUAGAUUGUUGGUGCCGACUUAUAUAUAAGCCCUUCUUCUUCUAGCCCCAGACGGCCAUAUUUCGUUUUGGAGCUGGCAGUAUCAAUCAUGCGAUGCAAUUAAGGCGUUUUGCAGCAUUUUUCUGUCAAUGUACUGCUACGUGAACUUAAAAUACAAAGAGCCAAGAUACGGCCAAAUUCCGAUCUGUGCUACCAGGGAAGGUUUCGACAGUGGAUUCACGAAAUGUUGAUAGAAUGAUGGUCUUUUUUAUUUAUUGUCCGCUGAUAAUAUGUAGGUAGAAUCGCUUAUCUAAAGGUGUUUGAUUAUUAUUAUAACCUAAAUAAAUGUUUGUGUGAAAUAACUUUAAAUAUUUUUAAUUAGAUAAGAAUGCACGUAAACUA